rnacentral:rRNA from 1 species
CCAGACUCCUACGGGAGGCAGCAGUGAGGAAUAUUGGUCAAUGGGCGGGAGCCUGAACCAGCCAAGCCGCGUGAGGGAAGAAGGUACAGCGUAUCGUAAACCUCUUUUGUCAGGGAACAAAGGCGGGGACGUGUCCCCGGAUGAGUGUACCUGAAGAAAAAGCAUCGGCUAACUCCGUGCCAGCAGCCGCGGUAAUACGGAGGAUGCGAGCGUUAUCCGGAUUUAUUGGGCGUAAAGCGCGCGUAGGCGGUCAUGUAAGCGGGACCUCUAAUCUUGGGGCUCAACCUCAAGCCGGGUUCCGAACUACAUGACUCGAGUGUGGUAGGGGAGAUCGGAAUUCCCGGUGUAGCGGUGGAAUGCGCAGAUAUCGGGAAGAACACCGAUGGCGAAGGCAGAUCUCUGGGCCAUAACUGACGCUGAGGCGCGAAAGCUAGGGGAGCAAACAGGAUUAGAUACCCUCGUAA